rnacentral:pre_miRNA from 1 species
CGCUGGUUUUUCCCGCGGUGAUAUUCCGAAGCAAGUGGUUAUCACCGGGUGAAAACUGGUAGA